rnacentral:rRNA from 1 species
UACGUAGGGUGCGAGCGUUAAUCGGAAUUACUGGGCGUAAAGCGUGCGCAGGCGGUUUUGUAAGCCAGAUGUGAAAUCCCCGGGCUUAACCUGGGAAUGGCAUUUGGGACUGCAAGGCUGGAGUUUGGCAGAGGAGACUGGAAUUCCUGGUGUAGCAGUGAAAUGCGUAGAUAUCAGGAGGAAUACCGAUGGCGAAGGCAGCCCCCUGGGCCAAUACUGACGCUCAUGCACGAAAGCGUGGGGAGCAAACAGG